AUUUUAUCUUUCAAAUAUACUUUCUAGGUCUUAGCAGAGGUACUGACUGGGAUGAAGGCACUGGAUGAAGACAGACACCUGAUUUACCUGAAAGAUAUGAUUGCCGACGAAAUUCAAACAGCAAAAGAAAGCUCAGACUCCAAAGGAAAAAAUUUGGAAAAACUGGCUGCCAAGGAAAUCUGCUGCAAAUACCUAGACAGAAAAGCAGGGCACUUGCUGGAAGAGGUGGCUGUUGAUUUUGCAUCAGCCAGCUGCCUUUGCCUGAGAAAGAAGAAUUCAAACAUAGCAGAGGUACGUGAAAUUAUGGAAAUGGCUGCAAACAAAUUAAAGGAGCAUUAUUACAUCUGCGGAAGCAGCACUUGUGGGUUCUCCAUGAACACUCCAGA